rnacentral:other from 1 species
UUCCCUGGGGUGUUCGUCUGUUGAUGACGUCCCUGAGCCGAUAUCAAUAGCAAAGGAAAGCCGUGUUACUUACUAUUGCGCAAGCUUGGUUCGACCGAGAAGCCUACGGUAGGUACCGGAUUUCCGCCUUGAGCCGACGGGUUCAAGGACCAACAUCAGCGACGGCAUCCUGGGGAU